rnacentral:rRNA from 1 species
GUAGGGCGGGACACGUGGUAUCCUGUCUGAAUAUGGGGGGACCAUCCUCCAAGGCUAAAUACUCCUGACUGACCGAUAGUGAACCAGUACCGUGAGGGAAAGGCGAAAAGAACCCCGGCGAGGGGAGUGAAAAAGAACCUGAAACCGUGUACGUACAAGCAGUGGGAGCACCCUUUGGGGUGUGACUGCGUACCUUUUGUAUAAUGGGUCAGCGACUUAUAUUCUGUAGCAAGGUUAACCGAAUAGGGGAGCCGGAGGGAAACCGAGUCUUAACCGGGCGUUAAGUUGCAGGGUAUAGACCCGAAACCCGGUGAUCUAGCCAUGGGCAGGUUGAAGGUUGGGUAACACUAACUGGAGGACCGAACCGACUAAUGUUGAAAAAUUAGCGGAUGACCUGUGGCUGGGGGUGAAAGGCCAAUCAAACCGGGAGAUAGCUGGUUCUCCCCGAAAGCUAUUUAGGUAGCGCCUCGUGAAUUCAUCUCCGGGGGUAGAGCACUGUUUCGGCUAGGGGGCCAUCCCGGCUUACCAACCCGAUGCAAACUGCGAAUACCGGAGAAUGUUAUCACGGGAGACACACGGCGGGUGCUAACGUCCGUCGUGAAGAGGGAAACAACCCAGACCGCCAGCUAAGGUCCCAAAGUCAUGGUUAAGUGGGAAACGAUGUGGGAAGGCCCAGACAGCCAGGAUGUUGGCUUAGAAGCAGCCAUCAUUUAAAGAAAGCGUAAUAGCUCACUGGUCGAGUCGGCCUGCGCGGAAGAUGUAACGGGGCUAAACCAUGCACCGAAGCUGCGGCAGCGACGCUGAUGCGUUGUUGGGUAGGGGAGCGUUCUGUAAGCCUGCGAAGGUGGCCUGUGAGGGUUGCUGGAGGUAUCAGAAGUGCGAAUGCUGACAUAAGUAACGAUAAAGCGGGUGAAAAGCCCGCUCGCCGGAAGACCAAGGGUUCCUGUCCAACGUUAAUCGGGGCAGGGUGAGUCGACCCCUAAGGCGAGGCCGAAAGGCGUAGUCGAUGGGAAACGGGUUAAUAUUCCCGUACUUGGUGUUACUGCGAAGGGGGGACGGAGAAGGCUAUGUUGGCCGGGCGACGGUUGUCCCGGUUUAAGCGUGUAGGUGUGUGUUCCAGGUAAAUCCGGUU